GACGUAGGGCGCGAGCGUUGUCCGGAUUUAUUGGGCGUAAAGAGCUUGUAGGCGGUUUGUCGCGUCUGCUGUGAAAUUUCGGGGCUCAACCCUGAACUUGCAGUGGGUACGGGCAGACUAGAGUGUGGUAGGGGAGACUGGAAUUCCUGGUGUAGCGGUGAAAUGCGCAGAUAUCAGGAGGAACACCGGUGGCGAAGGCGGGUCUCUGGGCCGAUACUGACGCUGAGGAGCGAAAGCGUGGGGAGCAAACAGG
rnacentral:rRNA from 1 species